UAUAAAUGGUACCCUCGUAGACAGUAACCAGUGUGCUUUUUUGACGCUAGCAGUCCUCCUGUUUGAGACCCUCACUGAGAAGGCAGAGUUCUUCCAUUUCCAAGUAUUCAAAGCUUGAUUCUUUUCCAUGCUAGGAAUGGAAUGGUGAAAUGAAGAUACUAAGAGCUGAUGAUUUAAUGCUUGGAAUUUGGAAACAUAAACCCCCGGAUUUUGAGGAUAUAACCCCACCAAACAAUUCUGAAGUUGAGGCCACGGAUCUGAUCCCAAUUCUCCCUCCAAAAACUUCUGAGGAUAACCGAAAAGGUUUGGGCUAACUUAUACUAGAGCUGGUCCACCAUUGUCAUCCUCUCUGUGAAAUAUUAGGUUUUGGGAUAGGGAAUCUUUCGCCAUUCUUUGGUGGCAGGUUUGCACACAUAGUAUGAUCUGGAGCAAGGUGGAGCCAUUCCUGGUUGAUCAGAAAGCAAAGAGUAGGUUGAAGAAAAAAAUGGUAGCAGGCCGGGUUUGCAUGCAAAGGUGUAACAUGAGGUGGCAAUGUAUGGACAGAUAAUUAAUGAAGAGUUUGGAAAUUGCAAAAUUGGAACUAGAGACAUUCACGCGUACUUUUUUCUUUUCAUUUUAUUGAGCUGGUUUGUUUAAUUAGUAAACGUGUAGGUGAUCUGUGGGAGUAAG